GACGAACGCUGGCGGCGUGCUUAACACAUGCAAGUCGAACGGAAAGGCCCUGCUUUUGUGGGGUGCUCGAGUGGCGAACGGGUGAGUAACACGUGAGUAACCUGCCCUUGACUUUGGGAUAACUUCAGGAAACUGGGGCUAAUACCGGAUAGGAGCUCCUGCUGCAUGGUGGGGAUUGGAAAGUUUCGGCGGUUGGGGAUGGACUCGCGGCUUAUCAGUUUGUUGGCGGGGUAGUGGCUUACCAAGGCUUUGACGGGUAGCCGGCCUGGGAGGGUGACCGGCCACAUGGGGACUGAGAUACGGCCCAGUCUCCUACGGGAGGCAGCAGUGGGGAAUAUUGCACAAUGGGCGGACGCCUGUGGCAGCAACGCCGCGUGCGGGAUGACGGCCUUCUGGUUGUAAACCGCUUUCGCCUGUGACGAAGCGUGAGUGACGGUAAUGGGUAAAGAAGCACCGGCUAACUACGUG
rnacentral:rRNA from 1 species